rnacentral:lncRNA from 1 species
CGAUAGAGAAAUUUAAGAAAUCUAUUAUACCAUACAAUCCUUCCCCCCCUUCAGAAUUCUUACUGAACUGUACUCGAGCUGACUUAUAACUAUUUCCUUCUCCAUGUUUUCCCAGCAUCCAAAUGAAAGGGCCGAGGAAUCUCAAUAAUCUAGCUGUGGAUUCUUUACCAUUGGAAGUGACAAAGAGCCCUGGCCUUGUUCCUUGAGGACUGAUGGAUGAAUGCAUUCUCAGAAUUGAUGUUUUGAGGAAUGUAGAAAAUUUUGAGUCUUUGGGGAAACAUUCCAAUAUACUCCUUUUGUCCGUUGCCCACUGAUUUUACGAUGAUGGCAGAUCUUGCAAGAGAAUAUAGAAGAUAACACUGAAAAUACCACAGUCCCUCAUAAAAAACACAGAUAACUUGAUGCUGGAGGCAGACCCUGUCUGAAGCCACUCUACAGCCACCAGAGCACUUAAUAGAAUAUUGCUCAUUCCAAGAAUAUGCUCUACUGAGACCUAAAGCGAUCCAACAGGGAGCUGGCAAAGGCCUGGCAGGACUUCUUAGCUUUAAAUUACAAAACCAGCUGCAACGCCAUCAGAGCUGAGUGAGCUUUGAAGCAGUACAGCUGCAUUCACUGCGCUGCCCCACUGGCACAGAUAACCCAAAGCCGGGCUGAUUUGCACACGGAUAAUUGGGAGUCAGCUUGUAAACACAGCGGUGUGAAUAAUUCAUGAUUCGUUUAUUUAAAUGUCUGUGUCUUACAAGAGAGGAAUCACGUGGAUAAAAGCGAGAUUUCUCGUUUCGGUGUAAACGACCAGAUCACAAAACCUUACCGUGACCUGAGGGCAAAAGGAGGCCCAGAAUAGCUGCGGAAGGGCAGAAGGUCUCAGGUAAGGCUGUGUGCUGCCGUAGCACGGCAGUGAGGCAAAGCCCAAGCGCCUGGCAGGCACUCACACCUGCCGCAUACACCAAGUAUUGCUUCGUCUGCACAGAAUCAGAGACAGAGAGUGCUGUGUUGGCGUGGCAGGCAGAAACCUUGUGCGGGCACCCAGGAGCCCCGCAGCGAACUACAGCUCCAGCAGAGCCCGGGGCCGGAAGCGGGGCGGGGCCACGCGGAUCCCCG